rnacentral:rRNA from 1 species
CGGCGGACGGGUGAGUAACGCGUGGGUAACCUGCCUCGUACAGGGGGAUAACAGUUGGAAACGGCUGCUAAUACCGCAUAAGCGCACAGUACCGCAUGGUACCGUGUGAAAAACUCCGGUGGUAUGAGAUGGACCCGCGUCUGAUUAGGUAGUUGGUGGGGUAAAGGCCUACCAAGCCGACGAUCAGUAGCCGACCUGAGAGGGUGACCGGCCACAUUGGGACUGAGACACGGCCCAA